UUAGGGUUUUUGUUCUGUUCAGUUCUUCAUCUCUUUGCAUGAGGCCUACUACAUUAUGGAAGUUCAUCUCCUUACCAAUAAAGAUGUUCAUCUAAUCUGAUUUUAAAAUCUAUUGAUAACUUUUCACAUAUUUAUCUCUCACCAAGACAUCCUCACAGGGACAUUCAGAACAAUGUGGAAAUAAAUAUCUGUGGCCUAGUCAAGGUGACACAUUAAAUUAGUCACCCAACAACUUCCAGGCUUGCCUAGGAAUUUAGCAAGCAUGAAGUCCCUGGCACGUAACAGGACAUUGGAUUUCUUGAUUCCCUUUGCUAAUCUCUGACAUCCUCUUCCACCGUUUCUUGGGUGCAAAGAUAGAGAUGGACAUAUUUUGCCUCCAGCUGAGGCCUUUAGAAAUCACAGGUUUGAAAAUAGUUUUGCCUGAUGAUUUAGUGCAGGAAAUUAGCCAGAGCAUGUAACAUACAUCCCUCCUCAGGCAUGUUAAAAUCAACUUUACUGAUGCAUGGAUUGUAGCUGACUCUUCAACAAUAUGCUAUUUAGGAGCACAGAGUAACCCCCCAAGCCUGCAGUUAGAAAUCUGCAUAUAACUUCACAUACUUAGGGAUGAAGAAUUAUCUCUGGAAUACAACACACUUACAGUUGUAAACUGUUAAUAGAAAGGAUACAAUAACUCACAAGGCUCAAGUCCACUGAUUUGGCUGGGUCUCCAAGUUAUGAACUCUUCACUCAGGUUCAUUUCUGAUUUGAGCCUCUGGGGAAGAGGCGUGGCCCCCACGUGACAGGUUGGCUGUGAGGCCUGGCAGGGACAGUGACAUCUCAGAAGGACUCCCUGGAGAGCCCCUGUCCCCUCUCAUCCACACACACUCCAGACGGCCCUCCGCCUGCCCCGCCCCUGGCAUGAGCCCCUGCCUCCUGGGCUGUGUGGUCUUCUGUCUCCUGCAGGCAGGGGCGGUCCAUGCUGGUGUCACUCAGGACCCCAGAUUCCAGGUCAUGAGGACAGGUCAGAGCGUGACACUGAAAUGUACUCAGGAUUUGGGUCAUAACUACAUGUACUGGUACCGACAAGACCUGGGACACGGGCUGAGGCUGAUCCAUUACUCAGCUGGUGUGCCCACUAGCGAGCCAGGAGACAUGCCCGACGGGUACAGUGUCUCCAGACCAAGCACAGAGAACUUUCCUCUCACACUGGAGUCUGCCAACCACUCCCAGACAUCUGUGUACUUCUGCGCCAGCAGUUACUCCACGGUGCUGCACGGCCACCUCCUUUCUGUGCAAAAAAGCAGAUGAGGGCCCUGCAGCCUGGAACCUGGGGAGCCCCUUGCAGGCUCCUAGCACCUGGAGACUCGGAGCCCACAGACACAUACUGGCAGCAUAGCCAGCGAUGUUUGAUCUUCCUGGCACGGACCUGACAACAGGGCCUCGUGGACAUGUGUCCACCCUCACUCUCUGUCUUUUCACUCUAGCUGCCACGUGAGCCUAAAGAUGCUUCCCAGCUCUGACUGCUAGUCAUCAGUCUGAACAUGAGGCCUCCAGAAGGGAAGGUUGUUGGGAAAUGAUAUACAUCUAGACCCUCUUGUCUCUCCCCGGGCACCACAUGCCUGUCACCAUGGAAAGUUCUCCCCCAGGCUAGCCCUUGAGUGGUCUCUGCUCUUG